rnacentral:rRNA from 1 species
UACAGAGGGGGCAAGCGUUGUCCGGACUUACUGGGUGUAAAGCGCAUGCAGGUGGCUGUGCAAGUAUGCUGUGAAAGCCCCGUGCUUAACACGGGGAGGCCAGUAUAGACUGCACGGCUCGAGGACUGCAGAGGGUAGGGGAAUUGCUGGUGUAGUGGUGAAAUGCGCAGAUAUCGGGAAGAACACCCGUGGCUAAGGCGGCUCUCUAGUACGGUACUGACGCUGAGACGCGAAAGCGUGGGGAGCGAACAGG